GCGGGUUUAGCUCAGUUGGGAGAGCGUCAGACUGAAGUUCAAACUUCGGUAAUUGAAAUCUGAAGGUCAUGUGUUCGAUCCACAUAAACCGCA